rnacentral:rRNA from 1 species
CGAGUUUUAACUGAGCGUUCAGUUACUUGACGUAGACCCGAAACCGGGCGACCUACCCAUGAGCAGGAUGAAGCGAAAGUAAAAUUUCGUGGAGGUCCGAACCCACGAGCGUUGAAAAGCUCGGGGAUGACUUGUGGGUAGCGGUGAAAUUCCAAUCGAGCCCGGAGAUAGCUGGUUCUCCCCGAAAUAGCUUUAGGGCUAGCCUCAAGGUGAGAGAUACGGAGGUAGAGCACUGAAUGUCCUAGGGGGUAUUGCACCUACCGAAGACUAUCAAACUCCGAAUGCCGUCAUCUUAUACUUGGGAGUCAGACUGUGGGUGAUAAGAUUCAUAGUCGAAAGGGCAACAGCCCAGAUCGUCAGCUAAGGUCCCUAAAUGUAAGUUAAGUGGUAAAGGAUGUGGGAUUGCACAGACAACCAGGAUGUUGGCUUAGAAGCAGCCACUCAUUCAAAGAGUGCGUAAUAGCUCACUGGUCGAGUGAUCCUGCGCCGAAGAUUUCCGGGGCUAAAACUUACUACCGAAGCUACGGCAUCAGUAAUGAUGGGUAGGGGAGCUUCCCAUACGGGUUGAAGCAUGACCGUAAGGACAUGUGGACAGUAUGGGAGUGAGAAUGUUGGCAUGAGUAGCGAGAUGUGGGUGAGAAUCCCACAGGCCGUAAACCCAAGGUUUCCAGGGGAAGGUUCGUCCGCCCUGGGUUAGUCGGGACCUAAGCUGAGGCCGAAAGGCGUAGGUGAUGGACAACAGGUUGAUAUUCCUGUACUACCGAUAACCGUUUGAGAGAAGGGAUGACACAGUAGGAUAAGCUAAGCACACUGUUGGUUAUGUGUGCCCAAGCAUUGAGGCAGUCAAAGUAGGCAAAUCCGCUUUGAUAAUGCUAGGAUGUGAUGGGGAGCGAAAUUUAGUAGCGAAGUAGCUGAUUUCACACUGUCAAGAAAAGUCUCUAUCGAGGUUAAAGGUACCCGUACCGCAAACCGACACAGGUGGGUG